UACAGAGACUGCAAGCGUUAUUCGGAUUCACUGGGCGUAAAGGGUGCGCAGGCGGCCAAGUGUGUGAGGCGUGAAAGCCCGGGGCUUAACCCCGGAAGUGCACCUCAAACUACUUGGCUAGAGCAUUGGAGAGGGUAGCAGAAUUCAUGGUGUAGCAGUGAAAUGCGUAGAUAUCAUGAGGAAUACCAGAGGCGAAGGCGGCUACCUGGACAAUUGCUGACGCUCAGGCACGAAAGCGUGGGGAGCAAAAGGG
rnacentral:rRNA from 1 species